GGCUCGGUAGCCUUGUGGGUAAAGCGCUCGUCUAGCAUACAAGAGUCCUGGGUUCGAAUACCAGCCGAGCAC
rnacentral:tRNA from 1 species